CAAAUAAAAAUUACAUGAAACUACAUUAAACUACAAAAAACCACAAUUAACUACAAAUUUGAUUCAACAGUAUAAUUUGCCAAUCAAAUUUAGGUCAACUGUGACAGUUCCAAAUAAACAUUACAUUACACUACAUUAAACUACAAAAAACUACAAUUGACUAAAUUUGAUUACACAGUAUAUUCAGCCAAACAAUUACACAUUAACUCCGAAUAGCAACAAUUAACUACAAUUUGUAUAAGCAACCCUAAUACAUUAUAUUAUUACAAAAAACACUUAGAUGCCAAACAAACAAUUGAAUUCUAAUUUUUUGGCAAAAAAAUAUUAAACUACAAAACAUUGUCGAGAAAAAAAAAGUUGUUUACCUUAACUGAAAUUUGUUGUGGAACCAAUUUUGUGGUUUUUUAGAGUGUUUCAACUUUUUUUGCUUUGAGGGGGAAUGAGACACCUUCUGUAUUUUUGUUUUUUGAACUUUGGGUGAAUCGUCCACAAAAUCAUCAUAUUUUUUUAG
rnacentral:lncRNA from 1 species